AGUUUUGCGCAAUAGCAAGAAAUAUCCAAUAGCACAAUAUUGCGCAAUAUCAAGAAAUUGUCAAUUGUACAGUAUUGCACAAUAGCAAGAAAUAUUCAAUUGCACAGUAUUGUGCAAAAGAAGAUACUUCGUAUAAAUUGCUUAUUUCUUGAUCAAUUUCUAUGGGGUUUUAUUCUUGAAUUCUUGGGGUUCUUUAAUAUGCUGAAUCUAACCGUGUAUUAAGUUUUUGGAUUUUGGGCCCCGUUUUUAAAUUGGUCCACAUUGAGGUCCAAAGGGUCCAAAAUUUAACUUUGUUUGAUUUCAUCAAAAAUUGAAUUAUUGGAGUUCUUUGAUAUGCCGAAUCUAACCGUGUAUUUAGAUUCUUAACUUUUGGUUCCGUUUUCAAAUUGGUCUACAUUAAGGUCAAAAGGGUCCAAAAUUAAACUUAGUUUGAUUUUAACAAAAAUUGAAUUUUUAGGGUACUUUGAUAUGCUGAAUCUAAACAUGUAUUUAGAUUUUUGAUUAUGGGCCCAGUUUUCAAGUUGGUCCAAAUCGGGGUCCAAAAUUAAACUUUGUUUGAUUUCAACAAAAAUUGAAUAUAUGGGGUUAUUUGAUAUGCUGAAUCUAACCAUGUAUUUAGAUUUUUGAUUUUUGGGCCCCGUUAUCAACUUUGUCCACAUUGAGGUCAAAAGGGUCCAAAAUUAAACUUUGUUUGAUUUCAUCAAAAAUUGAAUUCUUGGGGUUCUUUGAUAUGCUGAAUCUAACCAUGUAUUUAGAUUUUUUAUUUGUGGACCCGCUAUCAAAUUGGUUCAUAUUGAGGUCAAAAGGGUCCAAAAUUAAACUUUGUUUGAUUUCAUCAAAAAUUGAAUUAUUGGGGUUCUUUGAUAUGCCAAAUCUAACCGUGUAUUUAGAUUUUUAAUUUUGGGUCCCGUUUUUAAAUUGGUCUACAUUAAGGUCGAAAGGGUCCAAAAUUAAACUUAGUUUGAUUUUAACAAAAAUUGAAUUUUUGGGGUUCUUUGAUAUGCUGAAUCUAAACAUGUGUUUAGAUUUUUGAUUAUGGGACCAGUUUUCAAGUUGGUCCAAGUUGGGGUCCAAAAUUAAACUUUGUUUGAUUUCAACAAAAAUUGAAUAUAUGGGGUUCUUUGAUAUGCUGAAUCUAAACAUGUAUUUAGAUUUUAGAUUUUUGGCCCAGUUUUCAAGUUGGUCCAAAUUGGGGUCCAAAUUAAACUUUGUUUGAUUUCAUCAAAAAUUGAAUAUAUGGGGUUCUUUGAUAUGCUGGAUCUUACCAUGUAUUUAGAUUUUUUAUUUUGUGGGCCUGCUAUCAAAUUGGUUCAUAUUGAGGUCAAAAGGGUCCAAAAUUAAACUUUGUUUGAUUUCAUCAAAAAUUGAAUUAUUGGGGUUCUUUGAUAUGCCAAAUCUAACCGUGUUUUUAGAUUUUUAAUUUUGGGUCCCGUUUUUUAAAUUGGUCUACAUUAAGGUCCAAAGGGUCCAAAAUUAAACUUAGUUUGAUUUUAACAAAAAUUGAAUUCUUGGGGUACUUUGAUAUGCUGAAUCUAAACAUGUGUUUAGAUUUUUGAUUAUGGGACCAGUUUUCAAGUUUGUCCAAGUUGGGGUCCAAAAUUAAACUUUGUUUGAUUUCAACAAAAAUUGAAUAUAUGGGGUUCUUUGAUAUGCUGAAUCUAACCAUGUAUUUUGAUUUUGGACAUUGGACCAUAAUAGGUAAAUUAAAUAAA